rnacentral:rRNA from 1 species
UACGUAGGGUGCGAGCGUUAAUCGGAAUUACUGGGCGUAAAGAGUGCGUAGGCGGUUUUCUAAGUUUGGUGUGAAAUCUCCCGGCUUAACUGGGAGGGUGCGCCGAAAACUGGAAGGCUUGAGUAUGGGAGAGGUAAGCGGAAUUCCUGGAUGUAGCGGUGAAAUGCGUAGAUAUCAGGAGGAACACCUGCGGUGUAGACGGCUUACUGGACCAUAACUGACGCUGAGGCACGAAAGCGUGGGUAGCAAACAGG